rnacentral:lncRNA from 1 species
GAAAAACGCAACCGAUCCAGAUCUAGAUUUUAGGUAAUAACGGCAGUGGUGUCAUCUUUUUUUGCUGGGUGGGGAGGGGCCGCGGAGUUACCCAGGCUGGAGCGCAGUGGCGGGAUCUCGGCUCACUGCAGCCUCUGCCUCCCAGGUUCAAGCGAUUCUCCUGCCUCAGCCUCCCGAGUAGCUGGGAUUACAGGCGCGUGCCACCACGACCAGCUAAUUUUUGUAUUUUUAGUAGAGAGGGGUUUUGCCAUGUUGGCCAGGCUGGUCUCAAACUCCUGACCUCAGGUGAUCCACCUGCCUCGGCUUCCCAAAGUGCUGGGAUUACAGGAGUGAGCCACCGCGCCCGGCCGAGGUGUCAUCUUACUUAAAGUCAACUUCUCUUCUCUGAGCCUUAGUUUCUUCAUAUUUAAAGAAAGCCAGUUUAACUAAAUGACCUUUAAACUUUUUCUGCUCUCAAUUGUGAUAUCAGAUGUGCCGGCCUUUGCUUAAACACAAGCUUAGUAAGCGUGGCACAUAUUCCUAGAGUAUUCAUUUUACCCAAAGUUUUAGAUGUAAAAUGUCUUGUAACAAAGUAUGAAUGUAAAAUAUUCACAGAAUUCAAAUGAACUUAGAAAUUUUGACACUACUGCCAGUCAGUUCACACUACUUCUCCUGACUGUCCCAGGCUGUAAUGUGAACUCCUCAGCAAAUAGGGACACUUCAGUGGAAGUUUGAGAAGCACUCCUUCCUUAGAGCAACUUUGCCUCCUUUGCAUAUAGGCUCUUUGCCAUCGGCUCCCAGCUGUCUCCUGAACAGGGAAGCUCAGGCAUUGAGAUGCUGGAGACAGACACAUUCAAAUUGCACUGCUACCAGACACUGACAGGGAUCAAGUUUGUGGUUCUAGCAGAUCCUAGGCAAGCUGGAAUAGAUUCUCUUCUCCGAAAGAUUUAUGAGAUUUACUCAGACUUUGCCCUCAAGAAUCCAUUCUAUUCCUUAGAAAUGCCUAUCAGGUGUGAGCUCUUUGACCAGAACCUGAAGCUAGCUCUGGAGGUGGCAGAGAAGGCUGGAACUUUUGGACCUGGGUCAUAGGCUGAACCUGUUAUGGACCCCCAAAUUCUGAGAGUUCCUGCAACAAGAAUACUGCUGUUGACACUCCAGUGGAAAUCCCAGCAGCCUUGUUAGUGCACUUGAAAGUGGGAGAAUGCUGACCCUGAUGACUUGUACUGAUUCCUGAGCCUUAACACUGUGCUCUUUCCUUCUGUAUAUACCAUGGUCUUACUUUCCAACUCUGUACAGAUUUAUUUAUGGAGGAGCUAGGUCCAUAAAUGUUGUAAUAAAUAUUCCUUUGAUCUUGGUGUUUG